UGGAAUUUCCCAUGCUAGGGGUUGAAUCGGAGCUGCAGCUGCUGGCCUGCUCCACAGCCAUAGCAACUUGGGAUCCAAACCGUAUCUGUGACACACACCACAACUUGUGGCAAUGUCAGAUCCUUAACCCACUGAGUGAGGCCAGGGUCGAACCCGUAUCUUCAUGGAUACUAGUUGGGUUCAUUACUACUGAGCCUCAAUAGGAACGCCUAGGAAUAUGUGCUUUAAUUUUAAAAAAUGCUAUUCUUGGGAGUUCCCCAGGGGCAUAGCACUUAAUUACCCAGGAUUGUCAUUGCUGUGGCUCAGGUCACUGCUGUGGCAUAGAUAUGAUCCCUGGCCAGGGAUGCCAGGCUGCAUGCCAUGGGCACAGCCCCCAAAAUGCUCUUCUUUUGUGAAUGACUACUUAUCCCUCAAGAUGCACCUGGAGUUGCCACCUCCUGGCAGCCCUUCCUGAUCUACCUGUCUGGGUUGGAUGCCCCUUCUCAGUUCUCUGCAAGCUCCCUGUGCUUUUCUUUGCUUUAACACAUAUCCUACUGCAUUGAAGUGAAGGGUCCAGCUGCCUGUCUUCUCCACUUGACUGUGACCUAGAACCUAAAUUCUGUCUCUGAUUCAUCCCUACCUCUACAGCUUCUAGCACAGUGCCUGGCCUAAAACUGAUGUUCAGUAGAAGUUUUCCAGAAGGUUGAAUUCAACUUUCUCAACUUUCUAAGUGAGAGAGGCCAAAGGAAAGUGUGAAGUGCAGAAAUAGCUUGUGAGUUGAGGUGAUACUGACAAUUCAGACAUUUCAGGCCAGAAGACACCUGUUUUUACGCUCUCUCAACAAAGGGUUAGACCAGAUGAUUCCAUUUGACCUCUGACCUCUCCCCUGCCGACCUGGGAGAACUGAAGGCAGGCCACUGAGUGAAGCAGGUUGGGGUCCUGCUAGGGGCUGACUUGGUGUCAUCAGAGAGGGUGAAGGCAGGGCCUGUUACUGAAGCCUCCAGGGAAUCGGUCUCCUGGCAGGGUGGGUACUGUUGAGGGCUGUUAGAGUGUGUGUGUGUGUGUGUGUGUGUGUGUAUGUAUGUAUGUACCACACAUGGGCACGUGGUGGUCAUGACAACAGGCAGUGUGUUUUGAAGAAGCCCCAGGGCAAACAGGGAGCCAUCUCAAUCAGCCUGAUUGUGAGGUGUCUGAGCCUUUGGUGAUGGAGGACUUGAUUCAUUAAUUCUAACAGUUCAUAUUUUCUCCAGCACUGUCUGUGUGCCAGGCAAUAUUCCAAGUCGUUUGUGUGCACUAACUCAUUUCAUUUUCACAGCAACCCCAGAAAGCAAGUAGUCAUUGUCUUCAUUCUAUUUUAUUAAUUAAUCUUUUUUAGGGUUGCACUGUGGCAUAUGGAGAUUCCUCGGCUAGGGGUCAAAUUGGAGCUGCAGCAGCCGGCCUACACCAGAGUCACAGCAACGCCAGAUCUGAGUCACAUCUGCAACCUACGUCUUAGCUUGUGGCAAAGCCAGAUCCUUAACCCACUGAGUGAGGCCAGGGAUUAAACCCGAGUCCUCAGGGACACUAUGUUGGGUUCUUAACCUACUGAACACAGGGGACCUGCCUUAUUGUCUUCCUUUUAGAGAUGAGUAAACCAAGGCUCACAGAAUUGAAGUGAUGUGCUCAAGAUCCCCCAGCUGAGAAAUGUCAAGGACAGCAGCGUCCCAGGCAGUAUGACUCAGGAGCCCAGGUCCAGGCUAACCUGUCCCAACUAUUCCAUCCUGCCUGUCGUGGACUGUCACGGGCCAGAGCCAAUGCCACUCAUUCUCUGGGAGCCUCCUUCUGCAGUUGGCAGGUACCAAUGACAUAGGGGGGUGGAGCUUUCAGGAAAUGUAGAGACCCCCCAACUGCCGACAGCUUUCGGGACCCUGGGCAGCUGAGCUGCAGCCCAACGGGAAGUCUCAAUGACAGCAUAUGCUGACCUGUGACCUGCGAGGCAAAGCUGUAAUCAUGGCCAGAUCACAGGCUCCAACUGUAACUUCCUGCACAGUUAGAGGGCAGACAGGAGGCUUGUAGAGUGAACCCACCUCAAGAGCACCCUUGCGGUGGCACCUGCUGGGGCCGGAUGUGGUAGUGGAGCAAUACAGCCACAAAAGGGAUGCUGAGUGCCAAGAACUGGGCCAGGACCCUACGAAUGUUGACUAAUUGUCAUACUGACCUUGCCAGGUGGAUGUUCACCCUGUCCACUGAUAUGGAUGUAGUCUCAGGGAGGCUAAGUGAUGUGCCCAAGUUACUGAGCUGAGAUUUGAAUCCAGUUCUACUUGAUUCCAAAGUGCAUAUUUUUGGCCUAUGCCCACUGCCCUUCCUAUUUAAGGCCUAUUUUAUUUUCCCCUCCUCUUCCUUCCUUCCUUCCUUCCUUCCUUCCUUCCUUCUUUCCUUCCUUCCUUCUUUCCUUCUUUCUUACUUUGUUUCUCUUCCUUCCUCUCCUUCCUUCCUUCCUUCCUUUCUUCUUUCUCCUUUCUCUUCUUUCCUUCCUCAAUCAAACUUCCUUCGGGAUCAUUGAAGGAGAGCUGUGGCCUGUCUCAUGGAUGACUCCGUGGGAGUAUUUUCCCUGGAUCUGGGGGUGAGUAUCAGAUUUGAGGGGAUCAUGACGUGCCCCGUAAAAAAGUGUAAAGUUCACUUUUAAUCCUUAGGCGUCUUCAGUAGGAAUUCUCCUUGGGGUCUGACUCUUUCCUUUUUCAGCUUUUUCACAUGCUUGGGAAGUCACUGUGUGAGAAGAGCUGAGCACACAGAGCUCUGCACUCCCCUGUGGGGCUGGAAGGGCAGGUGGGAGCCACAGCCGGCUGGGGGCCGUGAGCCUGACUGUGCAGACUCUGCUGUCAGUGAGGGCAUGGAAUCCUGAAGGCAAAGGUGCAGAGAUCAUCCUUGCCUAUCAGAGAACUGUAAUUUGGGACAUGUGAAUCUUUUACCCAUCUCUUCGAGACACCUGAAGACAGAGCUAAGCCUUCUGUUUCCAGUGAUCAGGGGCUGGAUGAAGCCAGCCUCAGGAUAAUAAACCAGUACAAAGUUGGUGGAUGAAGGGAAAAUGGCACUUUUGAUGUCAUAUGUUUGAAGAUCGUUGAAACAUUUGAGUCUUCCAAGAAGUCUGAUUUGCAGAAUUGGCUGAGAAUGCCUGGAAUAGAAGCACACACCUGACAAAAAAGUUGGAUAAACGCUGCUAAUUGGGCGAGAGAAAGUGCUGGAACACUGAGCUGGCAGACCAGCCUCAGGAGGGGUCUUCCAAGGCACCAUAGCACUUUGGGCCUUAAAGAUCAUUAGCUCCAACCCUCUCAAUUAAGGAUAAAGAAACUCAACCUAAAGGAGACCAUGACUUCACACAACCAGGGCUAGAACAGUUGUAACUUGACACUUUGUUCUGUGGUGUAAGUGCUGGGUCUCCGCUCCACCCAGCAUCUCCCUCAUCUAGGAAAGGAAAUAAAUGGGUUCAAGUUCAAUUCUGAGAGGAUUCUAAGGACAGAGAUGAUAUCGUUGCACCCUGUGCAAACAAGGCCUGAGACAUACACCUCCCCGGAGGGGGUGGGCCUCAAAUUGGAGGUGAUGGUCGAGAAACACCUGGGAAGGUUCAUUCCAGGCCAUGCUCCCGAGGCCCCUGUGCAGUGUCCAGGCCACUUUCAAGGAUAUUAACUCACCAUGGCCAUGAAGGGCAAUGCUGUCUGUUUUGCGGGUGAGAAAACAACAGAACUCGAGGAGGUUUGGUGAUGUGUCCAACUAAGGUCUAGCGUGUCAACGAAGGUCCAAGUGAGCCUGGAGCCAAACCAGCACGGAAGCUCCCAUCCUCCCAUUCCCUUACCCAAGUUUGGUGAGGCCCAGACCUGCCUGCACCCUGGUUCUUCCAGAAAUCUCCUUUCUUCCUCUGCCGGGCCUUUGCUCAGCCCUUGCUCUUCUGCUGUUCCCCAGGUGAUAAUUUCAGCUCCCAAGCAUGCUUCCUCAUUUGAGAAACAAAACACGGCCGUGAUGCCUAGUGUAUUGUGACCUAUGUGGAGGAGCAGGUGUGACCAUCACUGAAUCAGUGCCUAAUAAGAAGCAGACACUGGGUAUGUACCCGUGAAGAGGAUUGUAGGUUGGGAACUUUCCUCCAGACCCCCUCAAUAGUCCUUCCUUUCUUAUGCAGAGUAAUUUAUUUCUUC
rnacentral:lncRNA from 1 species